rnacentral:rRNA from 1 species
UACGUAGGCAGCAAGCGUUGUUCGGAGUUACUGGGCGUAAAGGGUGUGUAGGCGGUUCUUUAAGUUUGGUGUGAAAUCUCCCGGCUCAACCGGGAGGGUGCGCCGAAUACUGAGGGACUAGAGUGUGGGAGAGGAAAGUGGAAUUCCUGGUGUAGCGGUGAAAUGCGUAGAUAUCGGGAGGAACACCUGUGGCGAAAGCGGCGCACUGGACCACAACUGACGCUGAGGCGCGAAAGCGUGGGGAGCGAACAGG